GGAGCAGUUCAGAGAGGUUUUGCUCUCCUCCUUAACCUGCGGUGGUUUCCUGAUUUCUCGUGGAUUAACCACGUUCUCCCUCUUUAUUUUUUCUCCAUAAUCUCAGUCUCCUUCUCUCUUCAUAAAGAUCGCUCCUUUAAUUGCAUAAUAUACCCUGAGAAAACACGCAGGAGAUAUUGGCAAUAACCCUAACCCUUCCCUAUAAAUUGCAAAAUCUCAAUGCGGGCUAAUCUCUUUCAUGCAAUUGCUGAUUGGAUUUGAAUCUCAUCUUCGUUCUUAACUUCAGGUUGCACAAUCAGUAACGUUUGUUUUCCUUUUUAUCUGAGUUUAGUUUUCGGUUUUCGACCAACACUCACCGCCCCGUCGGGGAUCCCAGCAUUUAUUUGAAUACUCGAUCAGUGGGAAAAAGGCAAAUCCGUUAUAUUCAGUCAGCUCACUCCGAUAAUCAAAAGCCUCCGAUAAUCAACACCAUGCCAUUAUAUUCGAAUAGCUUUUCGUCUUUUAAUGAUUGUUUAGUGUUUGUGUUUGUUUUGUGAAUCAUAUGAUUUGUAGACUUUUGGUAUGCUUACACACUAAUUUAAUUGUUGCGGGGAGGAAAUAAAGGGUGUCUUGUGUGCAAGAAAAAGAUGGCAACUUCUCCCAAAACACUUUCUGGAUUCUGCCCUGCCCCAUUUAGAAAUCUUUUGGAAUAUGUUGUUAAUUUGACUUUUGGUAUGCCUACGUAUGCAAAAAUUUCCAUUUGAUCGGCUGAAAGUUCUAAUCGUGUGACGAGGAGCCUAAUCAUUUAGGUUUCGUCGAAUGCUGAAUGAUCACACAUUCUUUGGUACCCACAAAGUUUAUUACCUCCUAAAGUCAUAAUUGCAUUAACUUUAUCUUCAAAAGGGGAAGGUCAAACUGAUUUCUUGACCAAACGUCAACUGACAUGGAAGACUUCAUUUUGUAGCCUUAAUUUCAUGUUAAAGAAGAACAUUUGUUACCUAUUUUAUGGUACUUAUUUUAAAUUAACUAAUGUUCAUGAAGAGAACUCACAUCAUAGUACUUUGGCUGUUUGUUUGAAGCCGUGAAAAUGAAGCCCUUUAAUGGAAGGUAGAUGUCGAGACCAAUGAGGUUAAUACUCAAAUGACGUUGCCACUAUGGAGCUUGGACAGUGUUUUGGAGCUUGAGUGUCAAGAGGAUAUUUAGCAUACUUCAGCAGGACCACCCGAUUAGCAUGGAGCAGCUAGAGUUAUUUUCCGGGUCAACACUCAACCCAUUAAAAGAGAAGUCUCAGCUUAUGUUGGGUUAGAGGGGAAGGAAGUUAUGAGCAACAGUUAUCUCUAUUUUCCAGUUUACUAUUUAGACUAGACUAUCGUUGUUUUGUUCUUUGUCUUUGAAAAACUCAGUAUUUAUUUCUUGUAUUUGGAGAUUAGCCCAUCUCAAAUAGGCCUAUUAUCAGUUGUUUUAAUUUUAAUCAAGCCGAUUUCAAGUUCUUAUCA